rnacentral:rRNA from 1 species
GAGUUUGAUCAUGGCUCAGGACGAACGCUGGCGGCGUGCCUAAUACAUGCAAGUCGAACGCUUCCUACCGGUGCUUGCACCGGGAAAGAAGAGUGGCGGACGGGUGAGUAACACGUGGGUAACCUACCUACAAGCGGGGGAUAACAUUCGGAAACGGAUGCUAAUACCGCAUAAAUCUUUUUGUCUCCUGACAGAAAGAAGAAAGACGGUUUCGGCUGUCACUUGUAGAUGGACCCGCGGCGCAUUAGUUAGUUGGUGAGGUAAUGGCUCACCAAGACGAUGAUGCGUAGCCGACCUGAGAGGGUGAUCGGCCACACUGGGACUGAGACACGGCCCAGACUCCUACGGGAGGCAGCAGUAGGGAAUCUUCCGCAAUGGACGAAAGUCUGACGGAGCAACGCCGCGUGAGUGAAGAAGGUUUUCGGAUCGUAAAACUCUGUUGUUAGAGAAGAACAAGGAUGAGAGUAACUGCUCGUCCCUUGACGGUAUCUAACCAGAAAGCCAUGGCUAACUACGUGCCAGCAGCCGCGGUAAUACGUAGAUGGCAAGCGUUGUCCGGAUUUAUUGGGCGUAAAGCGAGCGCAGGCGGUUCUUUAAGUCUGAUGUGAAAGCCCCUGGCUCAACCAGGGAGGGUCAUUGGAAACUGGAGAACUUGAGUGCAGAAGAGGAAAGUGGAAUUCCAUGUGUAGCGGUGAAAUGCGUAGAUAUAUGGAGGAACACCAGUGGCGAAGGCGACUUUCUGGUCUGUAACUGACGCUGAGCUCGAAAGCAUGGGGAGCAAACAGGAUUAGAUACCCUGGUAGUCCAUGCCGUAAACGAUGAGUGCUAAGUGUUGGAGGGUUUCCGCCCUUCAGUGCUGCAGCUAACGCAUUAAGCACUCCGCCUGGGGAGUACGACCGCAAG